rnacentral:lncRNA from 1 species
GCUCCUGCACGCACUGCUCCUCGAACUCAUGCAGCCUCUUUAGCUCCUCGUCGCUAAGGAAGAGCUCUGUGUGAAGGGAGAAGUGUCGGCCACGUGAAAAACAAGAAGAAUCACGGCCGCUGAGACGCAUAAUGAUGAUGUAGAUGUGGCUUAAAAUGAUCAUCGGUGGGGGCAGGACUGGCCUGUCAUGAAAUGUCAUAAUCAGCUGAUAUCGCUGGAACUUCCACACCUGGUUGGAUAUUGAUUUUACUUCAAAGAAGGCUCACGAUGUAGGAGAUGACGAUCCACUCCUGGAGGGACGGCCAGCCAUCCAUCCGCACCAGGAUGACGUAGUUAAACAGCAGCAGGUUGACACAUCUAAAAGAAUCUUUGUUUCCAACUGGACUGACUCAUUGAGAGGAAACCUUCACUGCACCUCACCAGUGCAGACAGAAGACCUGGAGGCAGGACGGGAGGCAUUUUAUACUUCAGCACGAUAUGGGCCCUGACUUUUCAUUUUCUACAUGGAGACAUAUUGGUUGGUGCUGUCAUCCUCAUGGGGAAACUAUGAAGUUGCAAACAUUAUGAUAACGGGAAACUUUUAAUAGUUUGCUGGAGUGUCUUCUACAUUCCUGGAAACUGGAAAAUGUUACUUACUCCUCCCUGCCUCAGAAAUUUCCUUCCUGAUUCUUUCCACAACUGGGAAGUUAGAUGAGAGGACAUGUGGAUGAGUUGCCCACCCAGAUAUGCGAGCUGACCCUAGAGUCCCCUCAGUUACUGGUGGCAUGUCCAGGAUUUGCUGUGGCCACAGCAGGGCCCCUAUCUCUGUGGCAGGGAAAGAGGCAGAGCUGGAGGUGGCAGUGGGUGAGGCAAAAGCGGGGAGUUAAGGGGUUGGGGGAGGACGUCUGAAGUAGAUCACCUGUCCCCAGUGAUUCACCAUGAUGCCAAGGAAACUUAAGCUUCUGGGUCCCUCACUGGCACAGGCCCCUGUGGAAGGCUUGGGGGAGGGGUGCUAAAAACUGAGUAUUUGUAACUGGGCAGUUUGGUUUUUUUUUCUUUUUUUUCAAGAUCCUGCCUCCCAAGCCUAUAAGCUUUACCAGGAGAGAGGCAGGCCCCACCCCAAGAUCCACUAUCCACUCUUUGAAGAAAGAUUAGAGCCAUGUUCUCAGACUUUGGGCUGCAUCCUAAUCCCUGCGAAGCUGCACAAUGUGUGAUGACUCCACCCUCCACCCGAUCCAGAGGGUCUGGGGUGAGACCCAAGGCUGAGAGGCCUCGAUGGCUUCCUGGCCCCAUCUCCGGCAGCAGCCUCUAUGGCUGGGCUCUCCUGCAGGCUGGGUGCACCCCAGGCCCUCAGAUGGUUCUAACCAGAAUCGAUGGGCAGCAGUGACUUCGACUGUAUCAUCAAUCUUGGCUGCCACAAGGUUGGGUGUCCAGGCCCUCAGCUGACCCUUGAGAGAGCCACACUCUGGGAGCUGUGUAGACCCAGGGCCUCAGAGAGGGCUGGAGGAUGGCUUGCCAGCCAAGCGGGUCAGUUUGGUGAGCACUUCAGAAUGAGACGCCUUGAUUUGUUUCCCUAUUCCAAGAGUUUACCAUCUGGAUUUAGCCAUGCCCUUGUAAUGACCCCACCAAUUUCAUGAAAAAUGGAAUCUGUGAAUUUGCUCUUUAAAUCACUAGUCAUCUCUGUUCAUUUAAAAAUAAAAUUAUAGUUCCUUAAGUUUGUAUUGCUAAAGGCAUCAGAAGAAUUCAUCUUAAGCAAAUAGCAUGUGACUAUUUUGCC